rnacentral:rRNA from 1 species
AUGAAAAUAAUUUGUUGAAACUGACGAGGUCUGCGUCAGCCUUAGACAGUCCAAGAACUUGUGUGCCUUUCAAAGACACACCGGCCCAACGUUAUCUUUCUUUCUGAAACAAGGCAAAAUAAAGAGUAUGUUGAGAGUUUGCAUUAUCGUUUGGGUAUGAAAAAUAAUUUUACUAUUUCCGUGCCAGGCAAAGGAGGUGGAUUAGCUAUCUUUUGGGAUGACCUAUACACUUUGGAGCUGAACAAAUAUGGAGAACAUUUUAUUGAUAUGUACAUUUUUAAUGGUACUGGCACAAAGUGGAGGAACACCUUUGUCUAUGGGGAACCAAAGGCGAGCCAAAGGUAUGUUAUGUGGGAUUUGUUAAGGCGCAUAAAACCACUUGGGUCUGGGUCAUGA